UAUGUACUCCCUUCGUUCGGAAUUAUUUAUCGCAGAAAUGGAUGUAUCUAAACGUAUUUUAGUUCUAAAUACAUCCAUUUUCAAGAUAAGUAAUUUCGAACGGAGUGAGUAAUUG
rfam:Triticum aestivum genome assembly, contig: Triticum_aestivum_CS42_TGACv1_scaffold_644075_T_1DL-0.255048_4DS-0.134357